rnacentral:rRNA from 1 species
UUGUCCAUAGACGGUGUUAGACCGGUUGGAGUGUACGAGGCUUUUAUUGAUGUUUCCUAUGAGUCGGAUUGUUUGAGAAUGCAGUCCAAAUUGGGUGGUAAACUCCAUCUAAGGCUAAAUACUUGUGCGAGUCCGAUAGUAAACAAGUACCGUGAGGGAAAGUUGAAAAGAACUUUGAAGAGAGAGUUAAAUAGUACGUGAAAUCGCUUAGAGGUAAACGAGUAGAGCCGAAACUGAUAUAUGGGAUUCAGUUGAUUGUCCGUCAAUCUUAUUUUAGCAAAAUCUCACUAGGAAUUGCUAAUUUAAGCUCAUAAUAGACGAUCAAUGCACUUUCCAUGUAUCAAAACUGCGACCAAUAGUGCCGUUUUUCUGUCGUAAUGGUGAAGGUGACCAAUUCUUCGGAAUCGGUUUUAUAGCUCAUUGCACGGUUAAAUUUGGUGUAUUGGUGAUUUCGAUUUGCUGAUAUUGGCUGUUGGUAAUGCUGAUUGUUUGAUUGUGAGCUCAUAAGAGAUUGCUUUUGAAUGUUUAGUAUAACUGAUGGUCGAUGGGUAAAUCUAGUAAGUCUGCAGUGUAUAUGUAGGUUACCUACUUGUCCCGUCUUGAAACACGGACCAAGGAGUUUUAUAUGAUCGCGAGUCAAAGGGCCUUACGAAACCCCAUGGCGAAAUUAAUGUAAAGGUUUGCUUCGGUAAACUGUGAUGUGACCUCUGUUAAAAGACAGAGUGCAACAUCGACCCGUCUAAAGAUGUUCGCAUCUGGGCGGAGUUUGAGCGAUCAUGUAGAGACUCGAAAGAUGGUGAACUAUGCUUGUGCAGGUUGAAGCCCAGAGGAACUCUGAUGGAGGACCGCCGCGGUUCUGACGUGCAAAUCGAUCGUCGGACACAAGUAUAGGGGCGAAAGACUAAUCGAACCAUCUAGUAGCUGGUUCCCUCCGAAGUUUCCCUCAGGAUAGCUGACAUUUGUUGUUGUAGUUUUACCUGGUAAAGCGAAUGAUUAGAAGUAUUGGGGACGAAAUGUUCUCAACUUAUUCUCAAACUUUAAAUGGGUUCGAUGUGCGUCUUUCUUUAUUGAAGAUGUGCAUUGAAUACAAAUGUCUAGUGGGCCAUUUUUGGUAAGCAGAACUGGCGAUGUGGGAUGAACCAAACAUCUGGUUAAGGUGCCUAACAUCACGCUCAUGAGAAACCACAAAAGGUGUUGGUUGAUAAAGACAGCAGGACGGUGGACAUGGAAGUCGUCAUCCGCUAAGGAGUGUGUAACAACUCACCUGCCGA